GGGUUGUGAGGUUAAGCGACUAAGCGUACACGGUGGAUGCCCUGGCAGUCAGAGGCGAUGAAGGACGUGCUAAUCUGCGAUAAGCGUCGGUAAGGUGAUAUGAACCGUUAUAACCGGCGAUUUCCGAAUGGGGAAACCCAGUGUGUUUCGACACACUAUCAUUAACUGAAUCCAUAGGUUAAUGAGGCGAACCGGGGGAACUGAAACAUCUAAGUACCCCGAGGAAAAGAAAUCAACCGAGAUUCCCCCAGUAGCGGCGAGCGAACGGGGAGCAGCCCAGAGCCUGAAUCAGUGUGUGUGUUAGUGGAAGCGUCUGGAAAGGCGCGCGAUACAGGGUGACAGCCCCGUACACAAAAAUGCACAUGCUGUGAGCUCGAUGAGUAGGGCGGGACACGUGGUAUCCUGUCUGAAUAUGGGGGACCAUCCUCCAAGGCUAAAUACUCCUGACUGACCGAUAGUGAACCAGUACCGUGAGGGAAAGGCGAAAAGAACCCCGGCGAGGGGAGUGAAAAAGAACCUGAAACCGUGUACGUACAAGCAGUGGGAGCACGCUUAGGCGUGUGACUGCGUACCUUUUGUAUAAUGGGUCAGCGACUUAUAUUCUGUAGCAAGGUUAACCGAAUAGGGGAGCCGAAGGGAAACCGAGUCUUAACUGGGCGUUAAGUUGCAGGGUAUAGACCCGAAACCCGGUGAUCUAGCCAUGGGCAGGUUGAAGGUUGGGUAACACUAACUGGAGGACCGAACCGACUAAUGUUGAAAAAUUAGCGGAUGACUUGUGGCUGGGGGUGAAAGGCCAAUCAAACCGGGAGAUAGCUGGUUCUCCCCGAAAGCUAUUUAGGUAGCGCCUCGUGAAUUCAUCUCCGGGGGUAGAGCACUGUUUCGGCAAGGGGGUCAUCCCGACUUACCAACCCGAUGCAAACUGCGAAUACCGGAGAAUGUUAUCACGGGAGACACACGGCGGGUGCUAACGUCCGUCGUGAAGAGGGAAACAACCCAGACCGCCAGCUAAGGUCCCAAAGUCAUGGUUAAGUGGGAAACGAUGUGGGAAGGCCCAGACAGCCAGGAUGUUGGCUUAGAAGCAGCCAUCAUUUAAAGAAAGCGUAAUAGCUCACUGGUCGAGUCGGCCUGCGCGGAAGAUGUAACGGGGCUAAACCAUGCACCGAAGCUGCGGCAGCGACGCUUAUGCGUUGUUGGGUAGGGGAGCGUUCUGUAAGCCUGCGAAGGUGUGCUGUGAGGCAUGCUGGAGGUAUCAGAAGUGCGAAUGCUGACAUAAGUAACGAUAAAGCGGGUGAAAAGCCCGCUCGCCGGAAGACCAAGGGUUCCUGUCCAACGUUAAUCGGGGCAGGGUGAGUCGACCCCUAAGGCGAGGCCGAAAGGCGUAGUCGAUGGGAAACAGGUUAAUAUUCCUGUACUUGGUGUUACUGCGAAGGGGGGACGGAGAAGGCUAUGUUGGCCGGGCGACGGUUGUCCCGGUUUAAGCGUGUAGGCUGGUUUUCCAGGCAAAUCCGGAAAAUCAAGGCUGAGGCGUGAUGACGAGGCACUACGGUGCUGAAGCAACAAAUGCCCUGCUUCCAGGAAAAGCCUCUAAGCAUCAGGUAACAUCAAAUCGUACCCCAAACCGACACAGGUGGUCAGGUAGAGAAUACCAAGGCGCUUGAGAGAACUCGGGUGAAGGAACUAGGCAAAAUGGUGCCGUAACUUCGGGAGAAGGCACGCUGAUAUGUAGGUGAAGUCCCUCGCGGAUGGAGCUGAAAUCAGUCGAAGAUACCAGCUGGCUGCAACUGUUUAUUAAAAACACAGCACUGUGCAAACACGAAAGUGGACGUAUACGGUGUGACGCCUGCCCGGUGCCGGAAGGUUAAUUGAUGGGGUUAGCGCAAGCGAAGCUCUUGAUCGAAGCCCCGGUAAACGGCGGCCGUAACUAUAACGGUCCUAAGGUAGCGAAAUUCCUUGUCGGGUAAGUUCCGACCUGCACGAAUGGCGUAAUGAUGGCCAGGCUGUCUCCACCCGAGACUCAGUGAAAUUGAACUCGCUGUGAAGAUGCAGUGUACCCGCGGCAAGACGGAAAGACCCCGUGAACCUUUACUAUAGCUUGACACUGAACAUUGAGCCUUGAUGUGUAGGAUAGGUGGGAGGCUUUGAAGUGUGGACGCCAGUCUGCAUGGAGCCGACCUUGAAAUACCACCCUUUAAUGUUUGAUGUUCUAACGUGGACCCGUAAUCCGGGUUGCGGACAGUGUCUGGUGGGUAGUUUGACUGGGGCGGUCUCCUCCUAAAGAGUAACGGAGGAGCACGAAGGUUGGCUAAUCCUGGUCGGACAUCAGGAGGUUAGUGCAAUGGCAUAAGCCAGCUUGACUGCGAGCGUGACGGCGCGAGCAGGUGCGAAAGCAGGUCAUAGUGAUCCGGUGGUUCUGAAUGGAAGGGCCAUCGCUCAACGGAUAAAAGGUACUCCGGGGAUAACAGGCUGAUACCGCCCAAGAGUUCAUAUCGACGGCGGUGUUUGGCACCUCGAUGUCGGCUCAUCACAUCCUGGGGCUGAAGUAGGUCCCAAGGGUAUGGCUGUUCGCCAUUUAAAGUGGUACGCGAGCUGGGUUUAGAACGUCGUGAGACAGUUCGGUCCCUAUCUGCCGUGGGCGCUGGAGAACUGAGGGGGGCUGCUCCUAGUACGAGAGGACCGGAGUGGACGCAUCACUGGUGUUCGGGUUGUCAUGCCAAUGGCACUGCCCGGUAGCUAAAUGCGGAAGAGAUAAGUGCUGAAAGCAUCUAAGCACGAAACUUGCCCCGAGAUGAGUUCUCCCUGACUCCUUGAGAGUCCUGAAGGAACGUUGAAGACGACGACGUUGAUAGGCCGGGUGUGUAAGCGCAGCGAUGCGUUGAGCUAACCGGUACUAAUGAACCGUGAGGCUUAACCUUACAACGCCGAAGGUGUUU
rnacentral:rRNA from 1 species